AAAAACUUAGUUAAAAAAUAACAUUAGCUUGUCAGACUAAAAUUAUUAUCUAUAAUAGUUUUUU
rnacentral:tRNA from 1 species